rnacentral:rRNA from 1 species
CGGCGGACGGGUGAGUAACACGUGGAUAACCUACCUAUAAGACUGGGAUAACUUCGGGAAACCGGAGCUAAUACCGGAUAAUAUAUUGAACCGCAUGGUUCAAUAGUGAAAGACGGUUUUGCUGUCACUUAUAGAUGGAUCCGCGCCGCAUUAGCUAGUUGGUAAGGUAACGGCUUACCAAGGCAACGAUGCGUAGCCGACUUGAGAGGGUGAUCGGUCACACUGGAACUGAGACACGGUCCAG